rnacentral:rRNA from 1 species
AUUGAACGCUGGCGGCAUGCUUUACACAUGCAAGUCGAACGGCAGCGCGGGCUUCGGCCUGGCGGCGAGUGGCGAACGGGUGAGUAAUGCAUCGGAACGUGCCCAGUAGUGGGGGAUAGCCCGGCGAAAGCCGGAUUAAUACCGCAUACGACCUGAGGGUGAAAGCGGGGGACCGAAAGGCCUCGCGCUAUUGGAGCGGCCGAUGUCGGAUUAGCUAGUUGGUGGGGUAAAGGCUUACCAAGGCGACGAUCCGUAGCUGGUCUGAGAGGACGACCAGCCACACUGGGACUGAGACACGGCCCAGACUCCUACGGGAGGCAGCAGUGGGGAAUUUUGGACAAUGGGGGCAACCCUGAUCCAGCCAUGCCGCGUGCGGGAAGAAGGCCUUCGGGUUGUAAACCGCUUUUGUUCGGGAAGAAAUCCUCUGGGCUAAUACCCCGGGGGGAUGACGGUACCGGAAGAAUAAGCAUCGGCUAACUACGUG